UAUGACACAGGUUUUUUGCAGCAGGAUGUAUUGAUAUGGUUACGUGAAUCUGGCUCAGUGUGGCUUCACGGUGAUCUCGCUUUAUGUAGCAAGUUCCUGUCCAUGGCGAAUUGGACGGUGCCAUUUACGAUCGGUCAUUCGCAACUCACCACACAUGAACGACCCUCCCAAUGAAGCCAAUGUUGUUGACUCUUGAACGGUGAUCUCGUUGGCGAAGAUUAAGGUGACAAUUGAAACCCGUAUUGACUGUCGUUUCAAUCCACAUCAUAAUCCCUUUUCCUCGAGAGGUUAUCAUUCACCAAUUUUUGGAGCACACACCUACCACUCGGCAUUGACUUCGUCUGUGGUUCGUAUCCGGGGUUUAGACGGUGCAACUUUGACUACAGGGUUAUGUGGGCAUGAUUGAUUGAAGCUUGCCGUUUGAAUUUUCCUGCAGGAAUAUUCUCUGCUCUGUAGCAGACACUCGGCACAGUAUCGUUCCAGCAACAUGAUUUUCUUGUUGUAGAAUUUAUUUGCGGAAGGAAUGAUGCAAGUCAACUGUCAUGAAGCCGUUCCGCUGCAGCUGCAAUGCAUAUAUUGUGUUCAUUCUGUUCGCGUAUUAUCUCGGUUCAUGCUCGAGGCAAGUAUUUCUCUGCGGUAAACUUCAGGUUAUUGAUGCUGAAUCUAGUUAAGUUUCGCACCGAAUCCAUUAUGCAACGGUCGCAUUUAGAAUCAGUGAAUGCUUAGUGAUCAACAAGUUAUCGAAUCUUCUUGAAAUUUAACCAUGUACACAUGUAGUCUUUGCAGGCUAUGCUGUGUCGGUCUGUUGCAGGAUGCUGUCAAAAACUGCAAAAUACUUCCUGUACUGCACCAGGGCGGGUAUAGACUGGAGAAGAAGAUCCCUAAGAUCCGCACUUGAUGUCCUUGGAUCAUUGCAAUGAGUAAUGCUACAUCAGUGACAAAAGAAACAAGUCCAUGCUUGAUCAAAAUGGUGGAUGGAACAAGUGGAGGAUCAAUUUUCCGCAACACAUGAAGGCAGUCAACCAAAGCUUCCAGAUAAUAUUCAGGGGUGUAGAUAAACACGGAACCCAUACUGCUAAGAACCAGUAGCAACUGGACAACCCACAUGCACAUUGCAUACAUUCCUCGCUGCUUCCAUCGAGAUAGCAAAGAGAUACGAUACCAAGCGCAAUGCCUAACACAGUCAAUAACCUCUUCCCCAUACCUGCUACGAGCUUCUUUCAAAUGCUUCAAUUUUUCACCACAAGCUCGGUCUCUUAUUUUCUUAUCAGUUUCCUCCAAAAGGGAGAUUGAUUGUGCUUGAAGAGUCAUGAUCGAGGCCUGCUUAAAAUUUGGAUCAAGACCAAAAUGAUACAGCCAUAACAAAGCAUAAAGCAGCUCUUCUUCUUGUAGCAUAUCCAUACACAUAUCAGUAUCCUUUGGGCCAGAUUUCAGAUGCUGCACUUGGUGGCGGUGAUAGAUGCAGGUGCCUGUACGCCGUGGAAACCCCACGGUCUUGUAAGCUGACAGCAGGUGUGUCCCUGCUGAACUGAUCAACGUGCUCUUUUAGUUCAACAGCAUGACCAAGCUUCUUUGAAUUUCUUAAUAGGCACUUCAUCCGGCAUUGGCUCAGAAUUGGCAAAAGCAUCAACGAUUGGCUUCAGCAACUUAAGCAUCUCUUAUGCCUUAUGAUGGCUGCGAAACAGAGGAUAUGUUGUCAACAAGAAUUUCCAAACAAUGAUAUCUUCACAAUGCUUCGCAAGUCUUGAAGAUUCUACAACUAGCUUCUCAAAGACGUCAUUGACGACACCGUUCAUGAUACCCGUGGCCUUGCUUAUUGCAGGAUAGUUAGCAAAUGUGAUUGUUGGAAGUUAGGAAGAUUUAAUUUAGUAACUAUGAUGAGAUGGUAUGAGGCCAAGUGCAGGUCUGUAACAGGAAUUUUGGUCAAUUCAACGUUUGGUGUUGUAUCUGAAUUCAAGCGAACCCUUUUUGAUAAUUCCGAAACUUUUGGAGCGUCAUUGGCAUAGCAGGUUUGUUGCAGGUUUGUGAAAAAAUCCUGACUGGACUUACAUGCCAAUGGACUGUAUUGCUGUUGUUUUUUACAUGGAGCUUUGUCUAUUGCAGCAUAUGGUUUGGUCCAUAACCUGCUUUUGGUCUGCAACAAGGCUUGUUGCAUUGGCUGCUGUAUUGUAGGAUUUUUUGGCAUUGAGUAUUACUCAACAUGAUUGUUUGCAUUUCCCUUGCGUUGUUGCACAUUGCCAAUCAUUGAUAUCAUGGUAUUGCUGGCUUGUCAUGUAUGAUGUGGCAGUAUUAAUUUGCGUGUUUUGGUUUUCUUUAACAGGAGAUUGAUGCAGAACUUGGGUUAUCCAUUGUGAGGUAAACUGCAAAUGUGUUGCCCUGCUGCUGACUUACUCUGACAGUGUUGAUGUUUCAAGUUGUUGCAGGUUUGCUUUUUCAUGCCGCAGCUCGUGUGCAUAACAGUUCACUUCAACUGUCAUUUCGGCUACGGUAUUUUGAUGCUUCAGCUGCUAUUGGAAGCGUGGCAAUUGUGAUGUCAAAACUGUAGAAGACCUCAGCUGGAAAGCUGGAUGAGCUGGCUGAGCUAAGCCCCGGAAUGCAUUCCUCCAUAUUCAUCAAUGCCAGGUCCGGGACCACCAUUGGUCUGAGAGAUAGCUGGUGCAGGAUCGUCAGCGCCAGAAGGAGGCCUUGGAGUACGAGUAUCAUCACUGUGUAGUUUAUCAGUUUCCGUUUCAGAGGGUAUUGUCUCUGUCUUCAGUGGAGGGCCACCUUGAAUCUCAUUGCCAUGUACAACAGAAUGCUCAUUACUAUCAUGUUGAACCUUGGUGAUUUCAGAAGCCUCACCCUUUCCAACAUUCUUAUUCAACGUAUCACCAUUUUCAAAUGCAUUAGCAUUUGGGCCUAAAGUCUUCACAAAGUGUGGAUCUUCACUAUUUUGCUUACUCCCAACCUCAGUGGAUUUCAACCUUGUUUCUUUUUCAGAUUUCAACUCAUUUUUUCCAAGUUUCCCCGAGGCAGAGUCAGUUUGUUGCUCAGUGACAUUACCUUGUCUUUCAAUUGGUUCCGGUGCCCUUGACUGCACUUGAUUAUUGGUCCCAACCAACAUAUUCUGAUUCCCUGGUCUAGCAGGAAUUGUAUUGGCAGAGUGUGCAAAUGGCGGUACGUGUCUUGCAUGAUUGGGAAUUGAAGGCCUUCCAACGACAUUUUGAGAUAGUGCGAUAUUACCCUUGGACUGGGGAUAAGCAUGCUUGGAAAAUGAAUGUACUGGAGGACCUUGAGGUCGAAGAUGAGAUGGCAUUGAGGUCUGGUGUUGUGCAAAUGGUUGCUGAGGUAAUAUUUGUUGAACCGGUUGCAAAAUAGGACGUUGGUUGGUUUGUCCAGUUUGUUGAUUAGGAGUGUAUCCUGGCUGCGGUUGCAGAGGAGGGGUGCUUUGACCUUGAACAGAUGGAGGCAACAAAAGCUACCUGCUGAUUAGGAUACAUAGCAUGAGAGUACUUGCUUGUUGAUGUGGCACUAGGGUGGUUUUAUGUAUCUGUUGUCUUUUACCACAUCAGUAUUGUGUUAUUGACUUUGAUUCAUUUCCUUGGAUUUCAUGCAGGUCAUGUGCAUAUGGAGGGUGAUUAGUUGAACAAAGCAACAUGAUGGCCAAAAUUGAGUUUUAUGACCACUCACAACACAUGGCAAACCAAAAAACAAUAGUCAAAGAUUAAAGAUUGAGAAUGGAAUCAGAAUUGGGAUAGGGUUUUAGGAAUUUGGGGAAUUGGGUUGACUUUGGUCAAAGUUGACCAAAAAGUCAAUUGUUGACCAAAAAGUCAAUCGUUGACCAAAAAGUCAAUUGUUGGUCAACACAUCUUUCUUUGUAUUUUUUCCAUGUAAUGACCCUUUUAUGAUCAUGUAAUGAAUGACACUUUCCCAUCUGAAAUGAACUUGGACUGGUAUUUGAACUGAA